rnacentral:sRNA from 1 species
GGACAGAGAGAGGCUUUGGACUCAGGAUAAGUCUUUUGCAAAUAUUUGGCCCCCCACUAUGGAGUGGGGAGAAAGUGUGAGACCCCAUGGGUGGGGCCAGUAGCCGCGGCUGACACGCCCUGUUGCACACAGCUCUGGGAAGGGCAGUUGCUAGCCUUCGGGCUUGUGAGAACCAGGACCCAGAAUAGGGUCUGCUUGGACGAGGGGGGCCCCACUGAGGAGCCCCACUGAUGAGUCCCAUCCCCAGGGAGCCUGCGCACAUGAUCCUGACCGUCGGAAACAAGGCAGAUGGAGUCCUGGUGGGAACGGAUGGAAGGUACUCUUCGAUGGCGGCCAGUUUCAGGUCCAGUGAGUAUGAGAAUGCCAAUGAGAAUGUGCCCGAGGAGGAAGGCAAGGUCCGCAGCACCCCGAUGUAAACUUCUCUGUGGCUCCAACCCCAAGACUCCCAGGCACAUGGGAUGGAUGCCCAGUGCUACCACCCAAGCCCCCUCCUUCUUUGUGUGGAAUCUGCAAUAGUGGGCUGACUCCCUCCAGCCCCAUGCCGGCCCUACUCGCCCUUGAAGUAUGGCCAGCCAAGGUUGGAGCUCAGACCGUGUCUAGGUUGGGGCUCGGCUGUGGCCCUGGGGUCUCCUGCUCAGCUCAGAAGAGCCUUCUGGAGAGGACAGUCAGCUGAGCACCUCCCAUCCUGCUCACACGUCCUUCCCCAUAACUAUGGAAAUGGCCCUAAUUUCUGUGAAAUAAAGACUUUUUGUAUUUCUGGGGCUGAGGCUCAGCAACCGCCCCUCAG